CCUGUCGCCCCCAACCACCUUCCAUCCCUCGUGACCUGUUCAUGCCGUCGCCGCCUCGAUCCUGUGGAUCUCCCUGCCGCCUCCCACGUCCGUGCUCAUGACCUGUUCCGCGUCCGCUGUCACCCCCAGAUCGCGCGAGGCCCAUGUCCACGCAGUCAUCGUCGCCGCCCCCUGGCCACGCGAGAUGCCAGCGCCCCCUCCACCUUGCGUGAGCGACCCCUUCAUCUACCUUCACCACCAUCUUCAAUCCGCCUCUGCAUCACCGCCAAAACCCUACCCACUUCCCUGCUGCCCAACAAUGAAUCUGCCUCCGCACCACCGCCAAAACUCUAGCAACUAUGGCAGUGAACAACAUCCGGUUUCAAGUCUUUGGCAGCUAUGCUCAUGGAAAAUACGUCUAUGUUGAUGGUGACCGAUCUGUUCUCGCAGAAUCAGCAAAGGCUUGAUAUCAUUGUUGUUUUGCUUUAUCAUUUGGGCAUUUGAAGCAAAGCUCUAUGGAGAAAAGGCAGGGAAAUGUUGUCUUUCUCAUUUUUGCAGGCUGACGAAUUUAAUGCAGUGGCAAGAGUUGGGGUUGCUGCUGACCAUCGUGGAAUCAUCUGCAGUCGUCGUGUGUCCACACUCCCUAACAUGUUGAGCCUCUUGCUGAUCAGAUCAGGCUUGAGAAGGAAAAUUUGGUUUUAAUAAGUGUUCUUGUCUGGUUCGAUUAAAGAAAGAUUCAGUAAUUGUCUUUUUUAGGAACAUAGAUUCUUCAUCUGUGUAUAAUGUAUUUUUAUUAUCUAGAUUGUGAUAGUUAUUUCAAGGCCUGGUGAUCGUAUAGCUUGACCAUUGAUUGAUGAUUAUCUGUUGUCUUAAGGAUUGGUACACUGUAUGUGUUCUUUGGUGUUGGUGGUACUUUGCUGACUUCUCUAUUUAUGGUAUCAAAUAUAUCUAUUGAGUGUUGGUACUUCAGGUGCACUAUUUAGACUAUUGGGAUCAAUGCUGUCAGAGCUCAUAAUAAAUUGGACGAUAUACGAGAACAAGGUCAAUUCUAAAAUAUAUGCAGUAUUGCAAUAGUGGAUGGAAACAGAACAAAAUAGUUGUUCCUUGCAGGUAUUGCAAUAUCUCAAACCAGAUAAAAGUAAAUUUUUACUCAGGUAUUUUCACCUAUCUUAUUACAAUUCAUCAAGGUAUUUUCACCUAGCUUAUUACAAUUCAUCAAUCUUGCUUCACUACCCAUGGUAACUUGAUUAUUUUCAUGCACUAACUUUUUGACGUCCUAUUUCUUUUCUUUUCCCCUUUCACCUCAAAACACUCAUUUUCAUCUCAAAGCACUAAUUACCAGAUACGCCAAUGUCAUUUAAAUUAAUUUUCAGCAGUGCUAUUAUUUUUUCUGCUAUUUGUUUUGGACCGAUUAAUAUUUUGUGUACUCUUCCUAUUUAUUCGUGGGACUGUAACUGCAAAGCUUGUAACUCAAGUCAUAUGUGUCUUGUGCCUGCUGUUGUAGCUAUGGAGCAGAAAAUUCAUGUGAACCCACUGAAGAUACUAAGCCAAACGAAGUGUACACAUAUUCAGAAUUCUAGCUCAAGCUGCCCUAAUCAACUGAGGAGGAUAAGGAUGCCGUGGAUUUUGAGAGGGAGGAGCCCGCCAAUUGCCAGAAGUCUGUGCAAGCUGAUGCAAAUGCGACAGCUGCCCCGUCUAAGGCUGUUGGCUUCUUCGGGAGGACAUUAUACACCACAUUAAUUCUGCUUGUUGCGAGCCAUCCAGAUGUGUAUGAGCCAUGUGAUGAUUUCUUUGCCCUUGUUGAUGCACUACUCUCAGACAAAGCACAACUUUUGACACUACAACCAAGACGAUGACACUAUCAUGCAAGGCCCACUAUCCUCUUUGUUGUCCUCUCAUGGAUCCUGGUCCAGUGGUGGAGGCUGAGGAAUCAGAAAGGCCCUAGAUCAUGGCCAGUCAUCGACGCAACGGUGGAGCUUAUGGCUGGAAGUAAUAUGAAGAGUCUAUAUCUGACAAAAAAUCAUCUAAAAUUAAAUAGUGAGAUAAGCUUUGAAUAGCUGAUGUAAAAUUAUGGAGUAACAUUGUAUUAGUUGUUGACAAAAAAUGUGAGAAAUUUAGGUCAAUAAUAAUAUAUGUAUUGUUUGUUU